AACGAACGCUGGCGGCAGGCUUAACACAUGCAAGUCGAACGCCCCGCAAGGGGAGUGGCAGACGGGCGAGUAACACGUGGGAACAUGCCCAAAGGUACGGAAUAUUCUCGGGAAACUGGGAGCAAUACCGUAUGUGCCCGACAGGGGAAAGAUUUAUCGCCUUUGGAUUGGCCCGCGUUGGAUUAGCUAGUUGGUGGGGUAAAAGCCUACCAAGGCGACGAUCCAUAGCUGGUCUGAGAGGACGACCAGCCACACUGGGACUGAGACACGGCCCAGACUCCUACGGGAGGCAGCAGUGGGGAAUCUUGGACAAUGGGCGCAAGCCUGAUCCAGCCAUGCCGCGUGAGUGAUGAAGGCCCUAGGGUUGUAAAACUCUUUCGUGGGGGACGAUAAUGACGGUACCCCAAGAAGAAGCUCCGGCUAACUUCGUGCCAGCCGCCGCCGUAACAC
rnacentral:rRNA from 1 species